GACGAACGCUGGCGGCGUGCUUAACACAUGCAAGUCGAACGGAAAGGCCCCUUUGGGGGUACUCGAGUGGCGAACGGGCGAGUAACACGUGAGUAACCUGCCCUUGACUUCGGGAUAACUUCAGGAAACUGGGGCUAAUACCGGCUAGGAAUCCUUGCUGCAUGGUGGGGGUUGGAAAGCUUCGGCGGUUUUGGAUGGACUCGCGGCUUAUCAGCUUGUUGGUGGGGUAGUGGCUUACCAAGGCUUUGACGGGUAGCCGGCCUGAGAGGGCGACCGGCCACAUUGGGACUGAGAUACAGCCCAGACUCCUACGGGAGGCAGCAGUGGGGAAUAUUGCACAAUGGGCGGAAGCCUGAUGCAGCAACGCCGCGUGCGGGAUGACGGCCUUCGGGUUGUAAACCGCUUUCAGCAGGGGCGAAGCUUGUGGUGACGGUACCUGCAGAAGAAGCACCGGCUAACUACGUG
rnacentral:rRNA from 1 species